GGGGGGCUGAGCAGCGUGGUCUGUGCCUGGGAGACCCAUUAACCCCCCCGUGCCCGGCCCGGGCCCUGCUCCGGCUGGAGCCGCCCUGGGUUCCGCCCCCGCUGCGGAGCUGCAGCCUCCAGGGGCCAGUGACCUUCGAGGAGGUGGCUGUGUAGAAGAGUGGGCUCUGCUGGACCCUGCUUAGGAGCCCUCUACAGCCGAAUCAUGCAGAAGAACUAUGAGAGCGUGACCUCGCUGGCAGGUGACGCAAUGGUAUGUGAGAAAGAGGAGCAGAAUUCUCAGCCGGAAAAUAUUGAGC